GUGAGGAAUUUUCCGCAAUGGGCGAAAGCCUGACGGAGCAAUGCCGCGUGAAGGAUGAAGGCCUAUGGGUUGUAAACUUCUUUUCUCAGAAAAGAAUUAUGACGGUAUCUGAGGAAUAAGCAUCGGCUAACUCUGUGCCAGCAGCCGCGGUAAGACAGAGGAUGCAAGCGUUAUCCGGAAUGAUUGGGCGUAAAGCGUCUGUAGGUUGUUUAAAAAGUAUUCUGUCAAAGAUUAGGGCUUAACCCUAGAUAGGCAGAAUAAACUUUUAAGCUAGAGUUUGGUAGAGGCAGAGGGAAUUCCCGGUGGAGCGGUGAAAUGCGUAGAUAUCGGGAGGAACACCAAAGGCGAAGGCACUCUGCUGGGCCAAUACUAACACUGAGAGACGAAAGCGAGGGGAGCAAAUGGGAUUAGAAACCGAGUAGUCC
rnacentral:rRNA from 1 species